rnacentral:rRNA from 1 species
CAGCUACCCACAUGGAGGGCAGCCACACUCCCGAAAAGUGGAUAUUUCCUCCUGGUCCAAACGGUUCUCUGUGUGAUAACCAUUCACAUGAUGAUGGCACUAGACAUUCCACCAAAGAUAAUUGCGGCGAUGACAAAGAUUUGUCGAUGCUUUUUGUGGUGCGGAAAGGCAAUGGCCAACGGCGGAAAUUGCUCGGUGGCAUGGGACACAGUCUGCACCUAG